CGGGAUGUAGUAUAGUGGUAGUACGCUGCGCUGGGGGUGCAGUAGUCCGCGUUCGAUUCGCGGCAUCCCGA
rnacentral:tRNA from 1 species